rnacentral:rRNA from 1 species
AGAGUUUGAUCCUGGCUCAGGAUGAACGCUGGCGGCGUGCCUAACACAUGCAAGUCGAGCGGUAUAUAUUGGAACGAGAUUUCGAUUAAGUGAAGAUAUAGAGAGCGGCGGACGGGUGAGUAACGCGUAGGCAACCUGCCCCAUACAGAGGGAUAGCCUCGGGAAACCGGGAUUAAAACCUCAUAACGCGAAAGGUUCACAUGGACUUUUCGCCAAAGAUUUAUCGGUAUGGGAUGGGCCUGCGUCUGAUUAGCUAGUUGGUGAGGUAACGGCUCACCAAGGCAACGAUCAGUAGCCGACCUGAGAGGGUAAUCGGCCACAUUGGAACUGAGACACGGUCCAAACUCCUACGGGAGGCAGCAGUGGGGAAUAUUGCACAAUGGGCGAAAGCCUGAUGCAGCAACGCCGCGUGAGCGAUGAAGGCCUUUGGGUCGUAAAGCUCUGUCCUUGGGGAAGAAAAAAAUGACGGUACCCUUGGAGGAAGCCCCGGCUAACUACGUGCCAGCAGCCGCGGUAAUACGUAGGGGGCAAGCGUUAUCCGGAAUUAUUGGGCGUAAAGAGUGCGUAGGUGGUUUUGUAAGCGCGAGGUGAAAGGCAAUAGCUCAACUAUUGUAAGCCUUGCGAACUGCAAGACUUGAGUGCAGGAGAGGAAAGUGGAAUUCCUAGUGUAGCGGUGAAAUGCGUAGAUAUUAGGAGGAACACCAGUGGCGAAGGCGACUUUCUGGACUGUAACUGACACUGAGGCACGAAAGCGUGGGGAGCAAACAGGAUUAGAUACCCCGGUAGU